CCUACGGGGGGCUGCAGUCGAGAAUCUUCCGCAAUGCGCGAAAGCGUGACGGAGCAAUGCCGCGUGCCGGAUGAAGGUCUUCGGAUCGUAAACGGCUGUCAGAUGGGACGAAUAAAGUGACGGUACCAUCAAAGGAAGCCACGGCUAACUACGUGCCAGCAGCCGCGGUAAUACGUAGGUGGCGAGCGUUGUUCGGAUUUAUUGGGCGUAAAGGGUCCGUAGGAGGUUUGUUAAAUUUGGGGUGAAAUCCCGGAGCUCAACUCCGGAAUUGCCUUGAAGACUGAUGAACUGGAGUACUGGAGAGGUAAGCGGAAUUCCAGGUGUAGCGGUGGAAUGCUUAGAUAUCUGGAAGAACACCGAAAGCGAAGGCAGCUUACUGGACAGCAACUGACUCUCAUGGACGAAAGCGUGGGGAGCAAACAGGCUUAGAUACCCCAGUAGUC
rnacentral:rRNA from 1 species